rnacentral:rRNA from 1 species
GAUGAACGCUGGCGGCGUGCCUAAUACAUGCAAGUCGAGCGAACAGAUAAGGAGCUUGCUCCUUUGACGUUAGCGGCGGACGGGUGAGUAACACGUGGGUAACCUACCUAUAAGACUGGAAUAACUCCGGGAAACCGGGGCUAAUGCCGGAUAACAUUUAGAACCGCAUGGUUCUAAAGUGAAAGAUGGUUUUGCUAUCACUUAUAGAUGGACCCGCGCCGUAUUAGCUAGUUGGCAAGGUAACGGCUUACCAAGGCAACGAUACGUAGCCGACCUGAGAGGGUGAUCGGCCACACUGGAACUGAGACACGGUCCAGACUCCUACGGGAGGCAGCAGUAGGGAAUCUUCCGCAAUGGGCGAAAGCCUGACGGAGCAACGCCGCGUGAGUGAUGAAGGUCUUCGGAUCGUAAAACUCUGUUAUUAGGGAAGAACAAAUGUGUAAGUAACUGUGCACGUCUUGACGGUACCUAAUCAGAAAGCCACGGCUAACUACGUG